CAGCCGCCGCGGUAAUACGAACCGUGCGAACGUUAUUCGGAAUUACUGGGCUUAAAGCGCGUGUAGGCGGGCCGCCACGUCGGUUGCUGAAAUCCCCCGGCUCAACCGGGGAAGUGGCAUCGAUACGAGCGGCCUUGAGGGGGGUAGGGGGAUCUGGAACUUCCGGUGGAGCGGUGAAAUGCGUUGAGAUCGGAAGGAACGCCCGUGGCGAAAGCGAGGUCCUGGACCCUUUCUGACGCUGAGACGCGAAAGCCAGGGGAGCGAACGGGAUUAGAUACCCCAGUAGUCCCUGUCUCUUAUU
rnacentral:rRNA from 1 species